CCCCUAGACGUUCUGGGCUGCACGCGCGCUACAAUAAUACGCACAGCGAGUAUCACCGAGCUCGAAAGGGCAAGGUAAACAAUAGAAAAGGUACUGUAAUGGUUAUAGAUCCUUGUAAUUAUUGAUCUUCAACGAGGAAUCCCUAGUAAGUAUGUGUCAUCAUCACGCACUGAUUACGUCCCUGCCCUUUGUACACACCGCCCGUCGCUCCUACCGAUUGGGUGAGCCGAUGAAACUCUCGGAUGUAGGCUAUUCAUAGCCCGCAGAAGAGAUUUGAAUCGUAGCGCUUAGAGGAAGGAGAAGUCGUAACA
rnacentral:rRNA from 1 species